rnacentral:rRNA from 1 species
UACGUAGGGAGCAAGCGUUGUCCGGAAUUAUUGGGCGUAAAGAGCUCGUAGGCGGUGUGUCACGUCGGCCGUGAAAACCUGCAGCUUAACUGUGGGCGUGCGGUCGAUACGGGCAUCACUGGAGUUCGGCAGGGGAGACUGGAAUUCCUGGUGUAGCGGUGAAAUGCGCAGAUAUCAGGAGGAACACCAAUGGCGAAGGCAGCUCGCUGGGACGGUACUGACGCUGGAGACGCGAAAGCGUGGGGAGCGAACAGG